AACGUAGGGGGCCAGCGUUGCUCGGAAUUACUGGGCGUAAAGGGUUUGUAGGCGGUGCGGCAAGUCGGGGGUGAAAUCUUCAGGCUUAACUUGGAGGCUGCUUCCGAAACUGCCGUGCUAGAGUGCGGGAGAGGCGAGUGGAAUUGCAGGUGUAGCGGUGAAAUGCGUAGAUAUCUGCAGGAACACCAGUGGCGAAAGCGGCUCGCUGGACCGCAACCGACGCUGAGAAACGAAAGCUAGGGGAGCAAACAGG
rnacentral:rRNA from 1 species